rnacentral:rRNA from 1 species
UACGGAGGGGGCGAGCGUUAUUCGGAAUUAUUGGGCGUAAAGGGCGCGUAGGCGGCGCGAUAAGUCAAAGGUGAAAUCCCUCGGCUCAACUGAGGAACUGCCUUUGAGACUGUCGUGCUCGAGGCCGGGAGGGGGUAGCGGAAUUCCCAGUGUAGCGGUGAAAUGCGUAGAUAUUGGGGAGGAACACCGGUGGCGAAGGCGACGUCCUGGACCGGCAUUGACGGCUGAGG